UACGGAAGGGGCAAGCGUUGUUCGGAAUCAUUGGGCGUAAAGGGCGCGUAGGUGGUUCUGUAUGUCUACCGUGAAAGCGUACGGCUCAACCGUAUUUUGUCGGUGGAAACUGCAGGACUUGAGGCUGGGAGGGGCUGGUGGAAUUCCCUGUGUAGCGGUGAAAUGCGUAGAGAUGGGGGAGAACACUCGUGGCGAAGCGGCCAGCUAGACCAGUUCUGACACUGAGGCGCGACAGCGUGGGAGCAA
rnacentral:rRNA from 1 species